UUCAAAUAUUGUAUCGAGGCAAUGCCCAGGAAGAGAAGACAGAAAAGAAAUCCCUCUCUCUCGACUUUGAGCUCAGGACCUGGUUUUUGAGCUACUCUCACUUCUGGCUCUCGAUUUUGAGCCCACGCAUUCGAUUUUGAGCUCCUCUUCUCUCACUUCAUCUUCAAUUUUGAGAUCAGAACCUCCUCUACUCUCAAUUCCGGCUCUCGAUUUUGCGUUAGCAGGUUGAGGAAUUGGCUUCUCUUGUCAAGGACAAUCUUUUGUGCAAGCAUCUUAUUCUCUCAGUGGAAGAGGCUUCUUAUUCUCUCAGUGGAAGAGGCUUUGGUGGACUUCCGUCAGAGUGAUACCAAGCAUGAGCCAAUCGGUACUACUACAUGUGUUUGAAUGAUCUACUAGCUUUGGUGGUGGUGGUAACUUUGCUUUAUGCUUAGAUGGAGAUCUGUCAGUUACUUUGCUUUUGCACUAUUUUACUUUACUUUUGUGUUCACACUUGAGAAUCUGCCAAUUUAGUACUAUGUCUACUGGAGAAGUAAGUUCAAUCUUAAGAACAAGUCUACUAUGUCUGCUGGAUUUUCUGUUAAUGUGGUCUUUUGGUUGAUUAAGAAAGUUGAAGGAAAAAUGAAACUGAAUUUUGCCUCAGCUUAUUAUAAUUAGUGUUUUGGUUUAUGGGAUUGUCAUUUCAUUGCUGGGUUCCUUGUACCAUUUUGCCUCAGUUUAGGUUGCUGCUGCAACCCAAUCUUGUUUUUGUUUUUGUUUUGUGUACUUAUUGAAUUUGUUUGAUGAGGCUUUACGUCGAUGUGCUUUCAUUUUAGCAGAGAGAUGGUUGUUCCUUAAACAAAAUGGUGGCAGUAUAGCUGAAUUUCAUCUUGUUUUCUUUUUUUGUGAAAUAUACUCUCUCUUAUUGAUAGAUAGUAUUGACUUUGUGUAUGUCCAGACUUCAAAAAAAGGUGGCAAGAAAGGAAAAAAGCAAAAAAAGGGUAUAGAGGCAGAUGUUAUUGCUAUUAAUAGGGAAGAAAGAAAUCCAGGAAUAAGAAUGUCUGUGGUUGUUUGUCUUGUUAUUAUGCUUUGCAUAUAUUGUUGCUCAUUUAGAAUAUAGGAAUGAUGGUUGAUCAGAACAUCCUCAUCAAUAGCUUUAUCAAACAAAUUUAGUGUAAGGAACAAGUUUUUACUCCUACUAAUGCUUGUCAAUAGCUUUAAAGGGCCAACUUCACUAAUGCUUGUCAUUUCUUGUCUUUGCAGGCUCUAUGAUGUAUGACUUCUUUAUGGUAAAUGGUUGGCAUGUGGCAUCAUAUCAAGCUAUAAUCAGCCCUUUCAAGUACUCAUGUAAUCAAUCCGAAUACAAUUCUAAUCUAGCUAGCAUGUUCUAUAUUUGAAAACCAAUUUAACUAUACUAUGAUUUUGUAAUAUGAAGUUACUUAAUUGAUAUAAUUUACUACAUGAAUGCUUUUGUUUACUA